AUUUGUGACAAUGCCACGUUGAAAGCACGACAUCUCGUCGGGUCUGUCAAGUUAAGCCACGUUGGGCCUUGUUAGUACUUGGAUCGGAGACGGCCUGGGAAUCCCAGGUGUUGUAGACA
rnacentral:rRNA from 1 species